GAUGAACGCUGGCGGCGUGCCUAAUACAUGCAAGUCGAGCGAACAGACGAGGAGCUUGCUCCUCUGACGUUAGCGGCGGACGGGUGAGUAACACGUGGAUAACCUACCUAUAAGACUGGGAUAACUUCGGGAAACCGGAGCUAAUACCGGAUAAUAUAUUGAACCGCAUGGUUCAAUAGUGAAAGACGGUUUUGCUGUCACUUAUAGAUGGAUCCGCGCCGCAUUAGCUAGUUGGUAAGGUAACGGCUUACCAAGGCAACGAUGCGUAGCCGACCUGAGAGGGAGAGCGGGCAGAGUGGGACUAGGAGACGGUCGGGACACCUACGGGAGGCAGCAGUGGGGAAUCUUGAAGAAUGGGCGAAAGACUGACGGAGCAAUGCAGCGGGAGUGAAGAAGGUCUUCAGAUCGUAAACCUCUGUUAAUAGGGAAGAACAAAAGAGUAAGUAACAAUGCACGUCUUGACGGGACGUAAGCAGAAAGCAACGGAUAACUACGUG
rnacentral:rRNA from 1 species